rnacentral:hammerhead_ribozyme from 1 species
AUCCAGUUGACGAGUCCAAAAUAGGACGGAUGGUGCAUCAUGGAU